UCCUCCCACAAAGGCGUGCCUGUACAGCUUUGUCUUCAGGUGCGUAAGAACUGGAGGUAAAGCAUUUAGACUGAUGGGUGUUAAUGCACUUGUUUCUUGUGAGACAGGAGCAGAUAUCAUCAUUCUUACAUGG